GCAUUUUUUAGUGUCAUUCUUCAAUAUGUGCUGACAAUAGGUAACUAUGAUCACUCGAAAUGAGGUUAAGUUUUUGAUAUGUGCAGCAUCUCUUUUAUUACCAGUAUUAUUCUAUACGCUUUUAGGGUUUUACUUAGUCUCUUGUGUUUUGCAAAAUAACCGUGUGAAACAUUCAAAUUUGUUAUUUCACAACUCUUCAUCUUGCCUGAUUUUGUAACUCCUGCAUCUUUUGGCUUCACUUCUCAUCCUCUUUUUUUUGGGACUAAAGUUCUUGGUAAGAUAGUGUGUUAAUGAUUCACUCGUCACUCAAGUUUGGUUCUGUAAUUGGUUUUAUUCUAACUGUUUAAUGUUUAUAUAUGAUUUGUUGAAACGAGAUUGGUGAUCAGAAAGAGUGAAUAAAUUGUCUGUGGAGUUUGAGACUGUACCGUGCAGGAAUGAAUCUCUUUUGUGCUUCUGGAAAGAAGUUAUAACAGGAGAAAUAGAAUUAGAUCGAGAAGAGCACAACUGAGUGAUGUGUCUAGAUGUGUGCCUUGUUUGAUACCUUGUCAAUUUUUACUUCUGCUC